rnacentral:rRNA from 1 species
UGAGGCGCAAUGGUUUGUCCCGUCCACCUCGGAUUGGUGACCCAUGCCCUUGAGGUCCGUGAACACUCAGAAACAAGAAACACGGGAGCGGUUCCUUCCUGAUUUUCGCAUGUCAUGCAUGCCAGGGGGCGUCCGUGAUUUUUACUGUGACUAAAAAAGUGUGACCAAAGCAGUCAUUCGACUUGAAUUACAAAGCAUGGGAUAACAAAGGAGCAGCCUAUGGGCCACCGUUUCGGCUUUUGUUGGUUUUAAAAGUCCAUUGGAGAUUAUGGCGUCGUGCGACAAGCGUCUGGGUGUUUUCCCAUCUUUGGGGCACCCGUCGCCUUUGCGGGAAAUCCGUGUCGGUGUUGAUGAGCUUCGGCCCAUCUCUCCGGCGCCUUCCCGUGACUCACGGCAUCCAGGAAUGAAGGAGGGUAGUUCGGGGGAGAACGUACUGGCGCGUCAGAGGUGAAAUUCUUAGACCGCGCCAAGACGAACUACAGAGAAGGCAUUCUUCAAGGAUACCUUCCUC